UACAGCCAUAUCUACCAGAAUGCGCCCGAUCUUGUCUGUCUCAGAAGCUAAGCAGGGUCGGGCCUGGUUAGUACUUGGAUGGGAAAUAAAUAACAUUUACUAAGUCGUCCUGCAA
ensembl:rRNA 5S_rRNA 5S ribosomal RNA